GAUGAACGCUGGCGGCGUGCCUAAUACAUGCGAGUCGAGCGAACGGACGAGAAGCUUGCUUCUCUGAUGUUAGCGGCGGACGGGUGAGUAACACGUGGAUAACCUACCUAUAAGACUGGGAUAACUUCGGGAAACCGGAGCUAAUACCGGAUAAUAUUUUGAACCGCAUGGUUCAAAAGUGAAAGACGGUCUUGCUGUCACUUAUAGAUGGAUCCGCGCUGCAUUAGCUAGUUGGUAAGGUAACGGCUUACCAAGGCAACGAUGCAUAGCCGACCUGAGAGAGUGAUAGGCCACACUGGAACUGAGACACGGUCCAGACUACUACGGGAGGCAGCAGUAGGGAAUCUUCCGCAAUGGGCGAAAGCCUGACGGAGCAACGCCGCGUGAGUGAUGAAGGUCUUCGGAUCGUAAAACUCUGUUAUUAGGGAAGAACAUAUGUGUAAGUAACUGUGCACAUCUUGACGGUACCUAAUCAGAAAGCCACGGCUAACUACGUG
rnacentral:rRNA from 1 species